rnacentral:rRNA from 1 species
AACAAACGCUGGCGGCGUGCCUAAUACAUGCAAGUCGAACGGGGAAAGCUUUCGGGUGAGUACUAGUGGCGCACGGGUGAGUAAUGCGUGGAUAAUCUGCCUUGAAGAGGGGGAUAACCAGUCGAAAGAUUGGCUAAUACCGCAUAAGACCACAGGAACUGAGGUUCUAGAGGUCAAAGGUUUUUCGCUUCAAGAUGAGUCCGCGUAAGAUUAGCUAGUUGGUGAGGUAACGGCUAACCAAGGCGACGAUCUUUAACUGGGCUGAGAGGAUGAUCAGUCACACUGGAACUGAGACACGGUCCAGACUCCUACGGGAGGCAGCAGUAGGGAAUAUUGCACAAUGGAGGAAACUCUGAUGCAGCGACGCCGCGUGAGUGAUGAAGGCCUUCGGGUCGUAAAGCUCUGUCGCAGGGGAAUAACACAAUGAAGGUACCCUGUAAGAAAGGAUCGGCUAACUUCGUGCCAGCAGCCGCGGUAACAC